CCAAGUCAGGUGGGACUACCCGCUGAGCUUAAGCAUAUCAAUAAGCGGAAGGAAAAGA
rnacentral:rRNA from 1 species